UUGACCCUUUCUCUACCUCAAAACUGCUGCUGCUCUUUAUUUCUUUAAUAUUGGACUUUAUUUCUUUCAGUAAGGGUCUUUUAAUACUGCCCUUAUCGACUACCUUGUCAACAUUGGAAUCCACCUUAUUUCAUCAUCGUGAACACCAAAAAGCCAAACAAUGGCAGAUGGUGGAGUUUGAAAAGAAUAAUUGAGACUCUUUGAAUGGCGAUUGAAGUUCAACUGAUACUCAGACCAUGUUGCUUGAAAGAUCCCAAUAAUGAGGUUUUUUAAUACCGGAAACUGUAGAGGGUUCUUUGUUUCCGGCGGUGGAAUGGACGCAUCAAUCACUGGGUUUGAAGAGGGGUUAUCGCAUACAUGGUCAGCCUAGGGUUAGGAUGAAGAUGCAGUGAGAUGACGGCACAGGACAUCUUAAUUUAUGCAAAAAAAUCUGAUUUGUUUCGAUUCAGUAUGGAGACCACUCCAGUCGAUCGAUGAGGUAUUUGAAACGUUGAAAUUACAAAUGAGGGAUUGACGAGUGAAGAAGGGAAUAAGAGGCUUAAUGUAUUGGCCCUAACAAGCUAGAAGAGAACAAGGUAGACCAAUAACUACUAUUAAAACAUUAUAUUUGGUCUUUGAUUUGGCAUCAUCAUUGAUAUAUAGUGUUUCUUUCUAGGCAUAUACUUCUGUGUUAUACCUCAGAAAGAAAGUUUGAGAACUUCAAAAUUCAUUUUAAGAGGGAAACCUUAGGGUGCAAACGAGUAGAGCGGCUCGCGAGCUACUCGAGAUCAGCUCGAGAAAAAGCUCGAAACGAACCGAGCUUGAGCCUAAAAUAAAAGCUCGUUUGUUUAUCGAGCCCGAGCUCGAGCCUUACUGUAAACGAGCCGAGCCAAGCUGAGCUUAUUUAAACUUGUUUACGAGCCGACCCCGAACCUAAAAAUAAGCUUAUUUAGUAACGAGCCCGAGCCCGAGCUUCACUUAUCGACCUCGCGAGCCUAAAAAGUCUAUUAUGUAUAUUUUCUUAUUUAAUAUAUUAAUUAUAAGAUAAUAAACGAGUCGAACCCAAGCGAGCUCGAGCUUUGAAAACAAAGCUCGAAUCUAGCCGAGCUAGAGCUCUCAUAAGUUAAUCGAGCUCGAGCUUGGUCAAGCUCGGGCUCGGCUCGUUUGCACCCCGAAACCUACAUGUUUUCUGUAGAACAGGUAAUAUUGCACUAUAUGAUAUGUGUUUAGGACCUUGUUACAAGAUUUGGCUGGAAACUACAUAUCUAUAUCUAUAGUUGUAUUGUUUUUCGUGAUCUAUCUUAUGUAGGAUGUUGCAGAGACAACCCUGGGAUUUAUAAAAGAAGCACCAACUACUAGAAUUACUGGAUUUAAUGUGUACCAUAAAAAAAGUGUAUGAUUCGUGUAGAAUCGAGGCUUUGAUUUAAUUUAGGAUGUUUUUAAGUUUAUUAGUCAAUAUGUCAAAUUAUUUCAGCCCUACUGGAAAGUAACCGGUGAGGGACAUUCGAAAGGGUAUGGGCAUGAAGCAAAUUUCACAGAACCGGCACACGACAAGCAAGAUUUUUUGUGUUUUUACGGCUGGAAAUGAAGCUAAAAGUCUAAAACAAAUGCAAUUGAAAUACUGGUUUGUUUUUCUUUUUUAAACACAAUUACAUUUUAGUAAUUUACAUUUGAGAUUUUUUUGGUAAAGAACACAUGAGACCAUGAUUGGACACGUAGUCGAAAUGGGGGUUCAUGCUAUAUUAUUGUUGAUUAUUGAUGUUGCUACUUAUUUUAAAUUUCUUGAAAUGCAAAAGAUAACAAGAGUCCUUAUCUGUCGGAUAUUAUCUACAGAUGGACUGUACAAAUGAUUCACACCCGAAUUUUAUUGGUGGCAGUAAGGAUGUAGAGUUGCCUAUGCAGCAAGUCAAGUCUUCUUUUUUUUUUUUGGGUAAAGUGCAGCAAGUCAAGUCUUCUAGGAUUGCUUCGGCAGUUUCAAGGCAAAAGGUGUAACUAUGUAUAGUCUGGUGUUAGUUUUGCAUCUUUGCUCGCUUGCUGAUGGCUCUUUUUCUAACUAUUAGUUAAUUUUUGUUGGUCAUGAUGCUGCUGCUGAGUUGGAUAAAGCACCACAAUGUGAAAGAAGUAUCAAGUGAUGCACAUUUCUUAAAUUAACAAGUAUAGUGUGCAGAUUUAGUUUGUUGUGAUGGGCUUCUUUGGAAAUUCAUGGUGAGCAGUUACCGCCAAACAUCCAGAAAGGAUAUGCAUAAGUUGCUCUGAAUCAGGUUGUCUCAUUUGUUGUUCCACACUCCCAUAGCCAUCUUCUUGUCCUCAUAAACAGAUUUCGUAUUGGAUGCUCUAAAUGAUUCAAAGACUGGUGUUGUAGGGUUUCUCUUCAGUUAGCAGGCCUUGUUCGUUACACGACGUUUAUACAAUUGUCGCUCAGCUAAACAUUAUUAAUCAAUGAAUUGUUUAACGUUACCGGGUCAGCCUCCUUUCCGUUUUCGUAUGCCUAGCGCUACACUAAUGAUGUAUUCAAUGCACGGUCUUAGUCUUUACCAUCGCAACUAACCGCUACAGGCUUUUUUUUUUUUUUUUGCUUUGAAUACAUGGGGUAUAGAGAAAUCUGCUAUAGACGCACAUGAAUCGGACAAACCUCAAGUUCAAGAAACGAUUGAAUGUGCUAGGGGUAAUCGACAUGUUUCAGUAAUGCCCACCGGGUGUUUGUUAAUAUAUUUCAAUGAAUUUAGCCAUUAUUGUUUUUCAAAAAGCUAUGAUUAGUUUCUUACAUUAGAUAGCAAAACAUCUAAUCUCAUAGAAUUAUAGAAUUAUGAAUAAAAUAUUGGGAUGCUACAAUUUUUGGGUAGGUUAGUUAUUUAAAAAUACAGAGAUUGAAACAAGAAAUUUUGUUUUAUUCUAUCCUAUCAAAUAUGGUAGAAGAAUCUUUAUUAACAAAGUAAUAAUCUGCCCAAAUUUAUGAGAAAAUUGAAGCGUACAUGAAAAGAUAGUGAAAAUGCACCUUUCUCAUGGGUUUUAAAGUCAAUGACUAAUCGUGUGACUUUUUUUUUAUGUAAUUUUUUUAGGUUGAAAUCUUUUCAUGUUGCAAGGAGAUUGUUUAAAUAUGACACAUUACAAGGUGUUCAGAACGAGUCUUGAGGUUAAUGAACUAGAAAGAACAAAGAAGGAAGGAAAUGAAUAAUAUGUCCUUUGCUUAAUAAUCUCUGAAAUUCAGUUAUUUAUCAUGUAUCUUAAUUUGUAGUGACUAAUGUUUUUCUUUCUUUUUAAUAUCUUACCAAUGGAAAAAAGUGACAACAUGAACUACAAUACUCAUAGGACGGUAUCUCUGAUGGAAAAAAAAGUGACAGUAUGAAGAAUUCCAAUGCUGCUAAGAUGGUAACUCAGAUUUAGCUUCCUUAUUUUAGAGGUGAUCUUAUGUUAACAAAUGAGUCAAAACCAGACAUUUUAGAUGUGGUCAUUAUUUUAAGAAAUGAGUCAAAUGAAGUAAUAUUAUAUCUUCUAACCAGACAGAUGGAAAAUUUCUAAACAGACAAGGUCAAAAGGGCCGAAACCUCAUUUGUAUGCAUAUCCAUGUCCUUUUAUCUAGAUGAUCAUUUAUAUAGUAAAA